GAGAGAGUUUGUUUUAGAUCCCCCCUACUCAUUUGAUUUUGGGCUGGCCCUUUUGAUGUAGAUUUAGGUGGAGAUGCCCAAGUCCCCUGGCCUUUUGAGUCUCCUUUAGAUUUAGAUUUUGUGUGGAUGUAGGUGUUUAGUUCCCCUCUGACUUUUGUGUUUCACAGUUUCAGUUUGUAUAAAGGGUGUUCAUGUUGACUGUCCCAAUGAUGUAGUGUUCAGUAGUAGCUGCUGGAAUGAGCUGUUAUAUUUUAGUAGCUUAGAAAUUCAGAUUGUGUAAUAUGCAUUUUUAGCGCUAUGUAAUUAGUGUUCAGGUAGGUAGGUAGUUUUUUCACUGCAUUUUACAGUUUGUUGUAUGCUUCCUAGUUAUUUGUAGUUGAUAUCCUCGUAUAUUUGAUGGCCAGGUGUUUUUGCCCUUUAGUUUAGUGCCUUGUUUAUUUCUUUCAUUUGUUAUUUUCUUUUCCAUCAUGCUAGUGAGUUCAGAAGUUUGCAGUAUCUUUUAAAUUUGUAUCACCCUGGUGAGUUUCAUAAUUUUUCAAUAGUGCGAGUUCCAUAAGCAAGUAGCGCUAGUUCCAUUUGUUCCAAUAGUUUCCCAUAUUUAGUUUCUAUGCAUAAUUUUGCUUUACUAGGGUGUUUCUAGCUCACCCAGUUACUAUUGUGAAGUUUUUUUUCUUCACUCUUUUUCUUGUGUAUCACGUAAUCUGCUUAUAGUAUCAGUUUAAUGGGUAGACUACGGAAGGUCUCUCACCAGGACGUUCCCGUACUAUCAUCUUUUGGCACUGCAGAUUCUUUUGAUAAACCUUUUUGUGCCCAAUGACUUCGCGGAUGAUGAUUCGUAUUAGUUAUAACGGGAACUAUCUGUAGAUCAUGGCAACUCUGACAAAGCUCUAUCUGAGUUCUCUAUGAAUCAUAAAGGAAAAAUGCUUGAAAUGGAAGCUUUCAUGCGUCGGCAAAAGGAAUGUGGUUAGUUGCAUCAAAUUCUUUUCAGAUCAGAUCAGUCACAUCUUUUCUAGCAAUUUGCUUUAGUGUUACCUAUGUAUUUGGAUUGGUACUAUUUUAUAGUCAUCUUGCAUAGUAUUCUACCUUAGUUUUGGAUCUGUUUUCCUUUUUGUUUCAUGUAGAGAUAGAAGAGAUCUAGUAAUUUUCCUGUUUAUUCUACCUUUACUAGAUAUUUUUCUCUCGUGUUGUUGAUGGCUUGUCCACUAGGUAUAAGGAUGCUAUUCAAAGAUAUGGAAUGGAGUGUCUGCUUAAUUUUGUGAGAACUGAGGUCCCUGCUAGGCUUGUCAAGUGGCUUGUUACUAGGUUCGAUAUUUGAGCUUCUGAGUUCCAAAUUCCAAUUAAAAAAUAAUUUCAUUCCUAUCACCAAGUAUGAUACUCAUGAUAUUCUGGGCCAUUUCACUAGAAUUUGUAGUGUAAUUUCAGUGCAUUUGCACGGUAAUUAGAGGGAUUUUACUGUAUUAAAUUUAGGGAGAUUACUCUGUAAUUCCCGUGCAACUUUCAAUGUAACUACAGUGUAAGUCACAGGGCAAUUACAGUGUAAUUUCCUGUUUGUCUUUGUUGGGUUGCAUCGUUUUUAGAACCUUAUCAGUUGUAUGUCCAUGUUAUCUGGCUUCUUACUUUACUGCUACAUGCUGUCAGUGUAAAGGAAUUUCAAGUUCAAGGCUAGUGCAGUGUAAGUUUAAAGAAUUAUACUGUUAGUUUAGGUAAAUUUUUGUGCAUUUUUCAGUGUAAUUUAAGUGUAAGUUCCAGUGAAAUUAUAGUGUAAUUUCAAUGUAGUUAAUUUAGGACAUUUCAUUGUCAGUUCCACUAUAUUUCCCAGGACAUUUAACAUCGCAAUUUCAUGGUUAUUACAGCGUAAUUUCAAGGUUCUUGCAGUGUAUGUUCAGAGAAUUACAGUGUGCAUUUCAUUUGGGAACUUGUUGAGAACCAGGUCCGAUGCAAAAAAACGUUAUGCUCCCGUGUAAUUACAGUGCUUUUCAAUUGUAGUUACACUGGAAAUUUGAGUGUAAUUACAGUGUGGACUUCAGAGCAAUGAUACUAUAUAUUUAGUGAAUUUAAAGUAUCACUCUACCUUCGGGUUUGUCUUUUCCCUGCACAAAUUAUUGCUAUAUUGUUGAUUGAUUCUACCCUUGGUAAUAAAUUUUGAUGAGCACAAAAUUUUUUAGUACUCCCUCCGUCCCAUAAUGUAAGACGUUUUUUGACACUACACUAGAGUCAAAAAAUGUCUUACAUUAUGGGACGAAGGGAGUAUGUAAUUUCAGCAGUUUGGUAACCGUAAUUUUCAG